GUAAUUGAGGCUUUUAGCUUCUGUGUCACAGUCAUCACGCAUUUCUUUAUGUGCCUGGUGGGAUCGCCCACGGGGAAUUAAGUCAUGUUCUUGGUUAGUGAGUAACAGAGAGGCCAUAUGAAACGGACGUCCAGGCAGGUGACUCAGCCGGGACCUGAGCCCCUGGAGAGCCCCUGGAGAGCUUCUUUUCCGGUGUCCAGUCCCUCAGUUCACUCAGACUGUCCUGCGGAGGGGGCGUGCGGGGUGGGGGUCGAGGCGGGGAAAUCUGCAACGGCUCCUGCUUCCUCGUCUGUAAGAAGGGGGCGGAUUCUUUACCAGCUGAGCCACAAGGGAAAACCCAGUGGCAGGCACAAGGGCCUCCAUUACUCCGCCCCUGCAACCCGAUGUGGCUCGGUCCUCUGCUCCAGUGCACCAAAGGUACCUACUCUCCGCGAAAAAUGGCCAACUGCUGAUUGACCAGCUGGUUUGUCCUCCGGCCAGAGUGCUGCAGUGGAGCCAGAGUUGCCUGCCUUAUGGCUUCAGCUGUUAGGCUGGUGAUCUCAGGAGAUUGAAGGAGCGAGCCCUCUGUCUUUGGUUGCCCCUCCAUGGUUCCACUUUGUACUUCUAUGACCCAGCACUGCCUGGUCAAGACUUGAAGGCAGGCACAGAGAGGUGAAGGAACUUGCCUGAGGUCCCAGGGCAGAAGGGGCACCGCUGGACUCCAAGCCUGAUGGUCCUGCUGUUUGCUCUCUGGGGCCUGUUCUCCAACCCCAGCUGGUCUGAUGGCAUCCUCUUCAAGUGGCCUAAUGUGUAGCAGAUUCUGCCAGACUCAGGACGGGCACCCUGGGGGCUCUAGGAUCUGCAUCCUGGGCUCAGGACCAGAGAAGCCAGCCGGGCAGAGGGGCCUCAGGGGCCCCAGGGU
ensembl:lncRNA